rnacentral:rRNA from 1 species
GACGAACCGUGCGAACGUUGUUCGGAAUCACUGGGCUUAAAGGGCGCGUAGGCGGUCAGGUAAGUGGGAUGUGAAAGCCCUCGGCUCACCCGAGGAUCUGCAUCUCAAACUGCCUGGCUUGAGUAUGGGAGAGGAUGAGGGAAUUCCUGGUGUAGCGGUGAAAUGCGUAGAUAUCAGGAGGAACACCGGUGGCGAAGGCGCUCAUCUGGCCCAAUACUGACGCUGAGGCGCGAAAGCUAGGGGAGCAAACGGG